rnacentral:rRNA from 1 species
UACAGAGGUCCCAAGCGUUGUUCGGAUUCACUGGGCGUAAAGGGUGCGUAGGCGGUCGGGUAAGUCUGAUGUGAAAUCUCACAGCUUAACUGUGAAACUGCAUUGGAUACUAUCCGGCUAGAGGAAUGGAGGGGAGACUGGAAUACUUGGUGUAGCAGUGAAAUGCGUAGAUAUCGAGAGGAACACCUGCGGCGAAGGCGGGUUGCUGGGCUGACACUGACGCUGAUGCGCGAAAGCUAGGGGAGCGAACGGG